rnacentral:rRNA from 1 species
CGUCUAUAUACGUAUAGCAUAUCAAUAAGCGGAGGAAAAGAAACUAACUAGGAUUCCCUCAGUAACGGCGAGUGAAGCGGGAAGAGCUCAAAUUUGAAAUCUUCAAGGUUCUACCUUGACGAAUUGUAGUUUAAAGAAGUGUUUUCUGUUGGAGUUUUGGUAAAAGUUCUUUGGAAUAGGACAUCAUAGAGGGUGAGAAUCCCGUAUUUGACCAUUAUUUCCAACUUUGUGAUACACUUUCAAAGGAGUCGGAUUGUUUGGGAAUGCAGUCCAAAAUGGGUGGUAAAUUUCAUCUAAAGCUAAAUACUGGCGAGAGACCGAUAGCGAACAAGUACCGUGAGGGAAAGAUGAAAAGAACUUUGAAAAGAGAGUUAAACAGUACGUGAAAUUGUCAAAAGGGAAGCGUUUGACACCAGUGUUGUUUUCUCGAAAAUCAAUUAAAAAUGGCGGGAUUUUGUGUUGUAUUGACUUUAUCAGCUUUCUGCACUCUUUUCCUGUCUUUUUUAAUGCACUUUUCGUUUAACAAGUCAACAUCAAUUUCUUUUGUUGUAAAAGGGUCAUUGGAAGGUGGCUUUCUUUUCGGAGAAAGUGUUUAUAGCCUUUGACUUCUGCAAUCGGAGAGAUUGAGGUCUGCAGCGUAGAUCCUUCGGGGUUAGAUGCAUUUGUGCUAAGUUAUAGCCUUUCAUAGACAACUUGUUGACUAUGAUCAGUCAUGUAGCUUACUCGCUUAUGUCAUUUUACCUACGCUUAGGAUGUUGACGAUCAGCUGAGCGCG